rnacentral:rRNA from 1 species
AUUGAACGCUGGCGGCAUGCCUUACACAUGCAAGUCGAACGCGAAAGGGGGCAACCCCGAGUAGAGUGGCGAACGGGUGAGUAAUGCAUCGGAACGUAUCCUAUAGUGGGGGACAACCUCGAGAAAUCGAGGCCAAUACCGCAUACGACCCACGGGUGAAAGCGGGGGACCGCAAGGCCUCGCGCUACUGGAGCGGCCGAUGUCCGAUUAGCUAGUUGGUGGGGUAAAAGCCCACCAAGGCAACGAUCGGUAGCUGGUCUGAGAGGACGACCAGCCACACUGGGACUGAGACACGGCCCAGACUCCUACGGGAGGCAGCAGUGGGGAAUUUUGGACAAUGGGGGCAACCCUGAUCCAGCCAUGCCGCGUGCGGGAAGAAGGCCUUCGGGUUGUAAACCGCCUUCGGCCGGAACGAAAUCGCCGGGGACAACACCCCCGGUGGAUGACGGUACCGGAAGAAGAAGCACCGGCUAACUACGUGCCAGCCGCCGCGGUAACAC